UUUUUUAUCCGAGGCCGAAAGGUCGAGGUAAUCCGUUGAACCCGACUCGUGCUAGGGAUAGGGAAUUGUAAUUGUUUCCCUUGAACGAGGAAUUCCCAGUAAGCGCAAGUCAUCAGCUUGCGUUGAUUACGUCCCUGCCCUUUGUACACACCGCAAGCUGAUGACUUGCGCUUACUGGGAAUUCCUCGUUCAAGGGAAACAAUUACAAUUCCCUAU
rnacentral:rRNA from 1 species